rnacentral:rRNA from 1 species
UACGUAGGGGCGCAAGCGUUAUCCGGAAUUAUUGGGCGUAAAGAGCUCGUAGGCGGUUUGUCGCGUCUGCCGUGAAAGUCCGGGGCUCAACUCCGGAUCUGCGGUGGGUACGGGCAGACUAGAGUGAUGUAGGGGAGACUGGAAUUCCUGGUGUAGCGGUGAAAUGCGCAGAUAUCAGGAGGAACACCGAUGGCGAAGGCGGUCUCUGGGCAUUAACUGACGCUGAGGAGCGGAAAGCAUGGGGAGCGAACAGG